rnacentral:rRNA from 1 species
AGAUUAAGUUAUUAAGGGCGCACGGUGGAUGCCUUGGCACUAGAAGCCGAUGAAGGACGUUACUAACGACGAUAUGCUUUGGGUAGCUGUAAGUAAGCGUUGAUCCAGAGAUUUCCGAAUGAGGGAACCCAGCAUGAGUUAUGUCAUGUUAUCGACAUGUGAAUUCAUAGCAUGUCAGAAGGCAGACCCGGAGAACUGAAACAUCUUAGUACCCGGAGGAAGAGAAAGAAAAAUCGAUUCCCUGAGUAGCGGCGAGCGAAACGGGAAGAGCCCAAACCAACAAGCUUGCUUGUUGGGGUUGUAGGACACUCUAUACGGAGUUACAAAAGAACAUGUUAGACGAAUCAUCUGGAAAGAUGAAUCAAAGAAGGUAAUAAUCCUGUAGUCGAAAACAUAUUCUCUCUUGAGUGGAUCCUGAGUACGACGGAGCACGUGAAAUUCCGUCGGAAUCUGGGAGGACCAUCUCCUAAGGCUAAAUACUCUCUAGUGACCGAUAGUGAACCAGUACCGUGAGGGAAAGGUGAAAAGUACCCCGGAAGGGGAGUGAAAGAGAACUUGAAACCGUGUGCUUACAAGUAGUCAGAGCCCGUUAAUGGGUGAUGGCGUGCCUUUUGUAGAAUGAACCGGCGAGUUACGAUCUGAUGCAAGGUUAAGCAGCAAAUGUGGAGCCGCAGCGAAAGCGAGUCUGAAUAGGGCGUUGAGUAUUUGGUCGUAGACCCGAAACCAGGUGAUCUACCCUUGGUCAGGUUGAAGUUCAGGUAACACUGAAUGGAGGACCGAACCGACUUACGUUGAAAAGUGAGCGGAUGAACUGAGGGUAGCGGAGAAAUUCCAAUCGAACUUGGAGAUAGCUGGUUCUCUCCGAAAUAGCUUUAGGGCUAGCCUCAAGUGAUGAUUAUUGGAGGUAGAGCACUGUUUGGACGAGGGGCCCCUCUCGGGUUACCGAAUUCAGACAAACUCCGAAUGCCAAUUAAUUUAACUUGGGAGUCAGAACAUGGGUGAUAAGGUCCGUGUUCGAAAGGGAAACAGCCCAGACCACCAGCUAAGGUCCCAAAAUAUAUGUUAAGUGGAAAAGGAUGUGGCGUUGCCCAGACAACUAGGAUGUUGGCUUAGAAGCAGCCAUCAUUUAAAGAGUGCGUAAUAGCUCACUAGUCGAGUGACACUGCGCCGAAAAUGUACCGGGGCUAAACAUAUUACCGAAGCUGUGGAUUGUCCUUUGGACAAUGGUAGGAGAGCGUUCUAAGGGCGUCGAAGCAUGAUCGCAAGGACAUGUGGAGCACUUAGAAGUGAGAAUGCCGGUGUGAGUAGCGAAAGACGGGUGAGAAUCCCGUCCACCGAUUGACUAAGGUUUCCAGAGGAAGGCUCGUCCGCUCUGGGUUAGUCGGGUCCUAAGCUGAGGCCGACAGGCGUAGGCGAUGGAUAACAGGUUGAUAUUCCUGUACCACCUAGUAUCGUUUUAAUCGAUGGGGGGGACGCAGUAGGAUAGGCGAAGCGUGCUGUUGGAGUGCACGUCCAAGCAGUAAGGCUGAGUGUUAGGCAAAUCCGGCACUCAUAAGGCUGAGCUGUGAUGGGGAGAGGAAAUUGUUUCCUCGAGUCGUUGAUUUCACACUGCCGAGAAAAGCCUCUAGAUAGAUAACAGGUGCCCGUACCGCAAACCGACACAGGUAGUCAAGAUGAGAAUUCUAAGGUGAGCGAGCGAACUCUCGUUAAGGAACUCGGCAAAAUGACCCCGUAACUUCGGGAGAAGGGGUGCUCUUUAGGGUUCACGCCCAGAAGAGCCGCAGUGAAUAGGCCCAAGCGACUGUUUAUCAAAAACACAGGUCUCUGCUAAACCGUAAGGUGAUGUAUAGGGGCUGACGCCUGCCCGGUGCUGGAAGGUUAAGAGGAGUGGUUAGCUUCUGCGAAGCUACGAAUCGAAGCCCCAGUAAACGGCGGCCGUAACUAUAACGGUCCUAAGGUAGCGAAAUUCCUUGUCGGGUAAGUUCCGACCCGCACGAAAGGCGUAACGAUUUGGGCACUGUCUCAACGAGAGACUCGGUGAAAUCAUAGUACCUGUGAAGAUGCAGGUUACCCGCGACAGGACGGAAAGACCCCGUGGAGCUUUACUGUAGCCUGAUAUUGAAAUUCGGCACAGCUUGUACAGGAUAGGUAGGAGCCUUUGAAACGUGAGCGCUAGCUUACGUGGAGGCGUUGGUGGGAUACUACCCUAGCUGUGUUGGCUUUCUAACCCGCACCACUUAUCGUGGUGGGAGACAGUGUCAGGCGGGCAGUUUGACUGGGGCGGUCGCCUCCUAAAAGGUAACGGAGGCGCUCAAAGGUUCCCUCAGAAUGGUUGGAAAUCAUUCAUAGAGUGUAAAGGCAUAAGGGAGCUUGACUGCGAGACCUACAAGUCGAGCAGGGUCGAAAGACGGACUUAGUGAUCCGGUGGUUCCGCAUGGAAGGGCCAUCGCUCAACGGAUAAAAGCUACCCCGGGGAUAACAGGCUUAUCUCCCCCAAGAGUUCACAUCGACGGGGAGGUUUGGCACCUCGAUGUCGGCUCAUCGCAUCCUGGGGCUGUAGUCGGUCCCAAGGGUUGGGCUGUUCGCCCAUUAAAGCGGUACGCGAGCUGGGUUCAGAACGUCGUGAGACAGUUCGGUCCCUAUCCGUCGUGGGCGUAGGAAAUUUGAGAGGAGCUGUCCUUAGUACGAGAGGACCGGGAUGGACAUACCUCUGGUGUACCAGUUGUCGUGCCAACGGCAUAGCUGGGUAGCUAUGUAUGGACGGGAUAAGUGCUGAAAGCAUCUAAGCAUGAAGCCCCCCCUCAAGAUGAGAUUUCCCAACUUCGGUUAUAAGAUCCCUCGAAGAUGACGAGGUUAAUAGGUUCGAGGUGGAAGCGUGGUGACACGUGGAGCUGACGAAUACUAAUCGAUCGAAGACUUAAUCAAUUUUUAAA